UUUGCCUUACUUAAACCAAACCCAUCAAUCAAACCCGAUUCUCCAGCCAGUGGUUUUAUUCAUAGCUGUAUUUUUAAAGCAGCUUUGACCCUUUUUCACUGGAACAGUAACCUAGUCACCAUGUGUCGAAGUUACGCCUAUUUCACUUCCUUUCUGCUUUAUUUCUGUCCCUCAGUGUUUGUGAGCAGAACAAUAAACCAUAUGAUGCUGCUCUGAUAAGAGGAAACACUGAGUCAGUGACGAGAAAUAGUGUUUUUAACUGUUGCUGCGCUGCAGAAGAGCUCACAUCAACAUGGAGCUGGAACCUAGUAGUUGUUUUUCUUGGAUUUGACCCGUCAACCCCACAGAAGGGGCCGAACAGUUUUUCAUCUAUGGCCAAUCUGGCAAGAAAUAACAAAAUCCUUCUGGAACUUGUACAACGGCCGGGGAACAACGUGUGUGCCGACUGUUCAGCUCCUGAGCCGGACUGGGCAUCGUACACUCUGGGCGUCUUUGUGUGCCUGAACUGUUCUGGCAUGCACCGAAAUUUACCCUCUGUCAGCAAAGUCAAAUCCAUACGGCUGGAUUACUGGGACAGCUCUCUGGUGGAGUUCAUGCAAAAGAGAGGCAAUUCCGAAGCCAAAGCCAUUUUUGAGAAGUGUGUCCCAACUUUUUUUUACAAGCCGCGACAAAACGACUGCAUUGUUCUGAAGGAUCAAUGGAUCCGUGCGAAGUAUGAAAGAAGGGAAUUCACCGGAGAAAACAACAGGUUUCUGCAAAUUUACACUUCUGAACAGUUUGAAUCCCCUAUGUGGAAGAAAGGCAGAGUCAACAAGCAGUUCCUCAAAAGGAACUUUCUGCUGUCUCAGCGAGAUUUCACCCUUAAGUACUUCAUCAAAGAAGAUUCCAAGGUUCCCAAAGCCGUCAUCAGCAUGAAGGAUCUGAACGCAGAUUUCCAGCCAGAGAAGAUCGGACACCCUCACGGUCUGCAGAUUUCCUACUCGGAGGAUGACCACACGAGGAAUCUCUUUGUUUAUCACGAUGAUGGGCAGACAGUUGUUACUUUCUUUAAUGCUAUUCGGGCGACGCGCUUGGCCUACCUCCUGAGGAAACACCAGACACUUCGAAACAGCGAUGUGAGACCAACUUCAAAAAAGAAAAUUGGUGCCUCAGUUAACGUCAAAAAGUCUGAAGGAGGGCUACAUGGAGAAGACGGGCCCAACAGUACGUUCAGUCCUAUGAAUCAAUCAUUUACCUUCAAACAUCACCUAACUUUGUUGGAUUUUUGUGUGUUUUUAGACACGGGAGUCUUUCAAGAAGAGAUGGUUCACUCUGAACUUGACGAACAGAAAACUUCUGUAUUUGAAAUCUCCACUGGUAAUGAAAGGGGAACAAAGGGAAAACCUUAUUUGACGCUUCACAAAGAAACCAGUGCCGUUUGUCAGAAAUCCUGUACGGUGGGGCGUGAACUCAAAGUCACACUUCUGCUCUUCUGCUUGUCAGGAUGCCACAGAGAAGGGCUUUGCCUUCAUCGGCUCAGAGAGCCAUGGAUACUCUGUGUCAGCGUGCAGCGGUCAGUCCAAAAGAGGAGGCCGGUGGCGCUGGGGGAUCUUUCUGAAGACUCCUGAUAGGGAGUAUGUCUUCAUGUGUGAGCAGGAAUCUGAGCAGAAGGAGUGGAUAGAGGCUUUUAGAAAGAUCAUCAGUCAACCCAUGACUCCAGAGGACUAUGCCAAUGAAGCCAAUUUAAGGCGAGGAAAAUAACUGGGAUGUUAUGACCAUGCUGUACUCAACAAGACACGGCAGACGUUACAAAGAAGGCUCCUUCUUAGCAGGAUCUUUGCACAUCUGCAGGCAGAAUAUCCCACAUUGAUACUACUAAUGCUUUAUCGGUGUCAGGAGGACAACUCUUAAAAGCCUUGCUGUGCAAAAACAUUAUGUAUAAAGUGACAUUUAUUUAUUUAAUUUUACAUUUAAAAUUGAUUAUUAAUUUUCAUUAUUUGUGUUUUUGGGUUAUUAUAGUUUGCACAUUUUCACAAGACAAUGUACUUUCACACUUUAUUGCUUUAGUAUCUGUUACUUUAUAAGAACUUAUACCUAAUAAAGAAACUAACAAAUUACCUGAAAAUAA